rnacentral:sRNA from 1 species
AUGCACCACUCGUGCAUUCCGGUUCCGAGCGUGCCGGCCACGCCCCGACGACUGCUUGCUACGGUCUGUUCGCC